rnacentral:lncRNA from 1 species
GCCGCUGUGUGGCGGAACCGGCCCCUCCCCUCCGCGGGCGGCGCCAUUUUACCCCCCCUCUCGCAGCGUGUGCGCCUCGGCUGCUGUGGCGGCUGAGGGGAGGGGGGGGCGAGCGGAGAGAGAGAGAGAGAGAGGCCGUCACCGCCGCUGCCGCCGCCGCUUUUCGCCCCCCUCCCUCGUUUCUUGCCUCGGCCCGGGCAGCGUGUGGAGGGGAAGGGACGAGGUUCAGUUCCUGCCCCUCGCUUUCCCCUUUGGGAUGGCCGCACACGGGGUGGGGGGGACCGGGCACCACCAAGCCAGGCUGCUCCUACCCUCCUUCCUUCCUUCCUUCCUCCCCUGCACAUCUUAGCCUCCUCCUCCUCCUCCAUCCAUCCAUCCAUCCAUCCCCGGGGGUGAGCCUUGGAAUGAGCAGCACUGUUGCUAGCCCGAUGUCAACAGUUGCCUCUUCAAGCAGUGGAAGGAAAUCAACAAGCUUUACACCUGAAUUGCAAAGUAUGAUCCUGUACCUUGAAGACCAUCAGUGUGGAUGCAUGAAUGGGCCACAUACAGCCUUCCUGAAGUUACUGGAAUUCAUCUGA